AUUGAACGCUGGCGGCAGGCCUAACACAUGCAAGUCGAACGAGUGGCGGACGGGUGAGUAAUGUCUGGGAAACUGCCUGAUGGAGGGGGAUAACUACUGGAAACGGUAGCUAAUACCGCAUACCAUCGGAUGUGCCCAGAUGGGAUUAGCUAGUAGGUGGGGUAAAGGCUCACCUAGGCGACGAUCCCUAGCUGGUCUGAGAGGAUGACCAGCCACACUGGAACUGAGACACGGUCCAACAUCUAACGGGAGGCAGCAGUGGGGAAGAUUGCCAAAUGGUCGCAAGACUGAUGCAGCCAUGCGGCGUGUAUGAAGAAGGCGUUGGGGUUGUAAAGUACUUUCAGCGGGGAGGCGUUACCCGCAGAAGAAGCACCGGCUAACUCCGUGCCAGCAGCCGCGGUAAUUC
rnacentral:rRNA from 1 species